rnacentral:rRNA from 1 species
ACGGAAGGCAGCAGUGAGGAAUAUUGGUCAAUGGGCGGAAGCCUGAACCAGCCAAGUCGCGUGAGGGAAGACGGCCCUACGGGUUGUAAACCUCUUCUGCGCGGGGGUAAAGUCGGGGACGUGUCCCCGAUUGCAAGUACCGCGCGAAAAAGGAUCGGCUAACUCCGUGCCAGCAGCCGCGGUAAUACGGAGGAUCCGAGUGUUAUCCGGAUUUAUUGGGUUUAAAGGGUGCGCAGGCGGUGGAUCAAGUCAGUGGUGAAAUGGUGCGGCUCAACCGUAGCAUUGCCGUUGAAACUGGCGAGCUCGAGUACGGAUGAAGUCGGCGGAAUGUGAUGUGUAGCGGUGAAAUGCUUAGAUAUGUCACAGAACACCGAUUGCGAAGGCAGCUGACUAAUCCGCAACUGACGCUCAGGCACGAAAGCGUGGGGAUCGAACAGGAUUAGAUACCCUGGUA